rnacentral:rRNA from 1 species
GUGAGGAAUAUUGGACAAUGGGCGCAAGCCUGAUCCAGCCAUGCCGCGUGCAGGAAGACGCAUCUAUGGUGUGUAAACUGCUUUUGUACGGGAAGAAACACUCCCUCGUGAGGGAGCUUGACGGUACCGUAAGAAUAAGGAUCGGCUAACUCCGUGCCAGCAGCCGCGGUGAUACGGAGGAUCCAAGCGUUAUCCGGAAUCAUUGGGUUUAAAGGGUCCGUAGGCGGUUUAAUAAGUCAGUGGUGAAAGCCCAUCGCUCAACGAUGGAACGGCCAUUGAUACUGUUAUACUUGAAUUACAAGGAAGUAACUAGAAUAUGUAGUGUAGCGGUGAAAUGCUUAGAUAUUACAUGGAAUACCAAUUGCGAAGGCAGGUUACUACUUGUGGAUUGACGCUGAUGGACGAAAGCGUGGGGAGCGAACAGGAUUAGAUACCCGAGUAGUCC